CCUACGGGUGGCAGCAGUGAGGAAUAUUGGUCAAUGGACGAGAGUCUGAACCAGCCAAGUAGCGUGAAGGAUGACUGCCCUAUGGGUUGUAAACUUCUUUUAUAUGGGAAUAAAAUGUUCCACGUGUGGGAUUUUGUAUGUACCAUAUGAAUAAAGAUCGGCUAACUCCGUGCCAGCAGCCGCGGUAAUACGGAGGAUCCGAGCGUUAUCCGGAUUUAUUGGGUUUAAAGGGAGCGUAGGUGGAUUGUUAAGUCAGUUGUGAAAGUUUGCGGCUCAACCGUAAAAUUGCAGUUGAAACUGGCAGUCUUGAGUACAGUAGAGGUGGGCGGAAUUCGUGGUGUAGCGGUGAAAUGCUUAGAUAUCACGAAGAACUCCGAUUGCGAAGGCAGUUCACUGGACUGCAACUGACACUGAGGCUCGAAAGUGUGGGUAUCAAACAGGAUUAGAUACCCGUGUAGUC
rnacentral:rRNA from 1 species